AUUUUCUUCACUUUACUCCUACCAUAUAGCUAGUACACGCAGCAAUAAAGAAAAGAAAAAGGGGAAAGGAAAGAGAAAGGUGCGUGUGUGCACAUAGAAUAAAAUAGCUGCAACAACAGUAGUUCUGAUAACACUCAUGUCCCAUCCUUUCCCCUGUAGUAGCUUGCGGCGCUUGCGGCUGGAGCAGUAAGGGGUCUUUCAACCACCCUACUGAUAAAACAUGUUAUUAUCAUAAUGCAGAGAAUAAAGAGAAGCAAGAUUAUUGUUGUUGUAUUGCUUACUUUUCCUUGAUUACAAUGCAUCCUUAUAUAGUAUAAGGAUGGAUAAAAAGUCUUACAAAAUCUUCUUAAAAUCAAAAUACACACUCUUAUAUUCAAUUCAAAGAUCUAAUCUUUGAAUUGAUUUUAAUACUUUUGACUAUUGAUUCUUAUUUUCAACACCUACAGCCACCCUACCUCUGUACCAUCUCCGUAGAGUGCUCCAGUGUUCAGCCAACAACCAUUCCCUCUUAGUCUUAAACCUCCAGCCAGCAAUCUCACUUCAUUCUCUCCCAUUCCACACUAAGGACUUUUGAGAGAGAAACGGGAGAAUCCAUUGCUGCUGCAAGACUUCAAAUGAGUUUGUCUCCACGAGAAUCAAUAGCAACACAGCAGCCACCCAACAGUUUGAACAUAUCCAAGGUCAAGCACGAGAUUAAUAAUCAAUCAAGGAGCUACUGUACCGCAAGAGUUGCUGUCAGGUUGAGCAGUGGCUGAUGAAGAUGAAGUGAAGAGCGGAGCUUUUGUCAAAAGUUAAAUGAAUGAACUCUUGGAUACAUGUCUUCAUACAUGUAAUCAGAUUAUGUUAUUCCGCUGCGUAUUCUUAAGUAAUAAGUCUUUUGAAUUAAGUCGGAUUUAUCCGAACUUACUAGUUAAUUGAAUCUUUGUGGCUAAACAUAAGUUAUAUUAUAAAUGUCCCCUUCGCUGUCAAAGAUUAAGUUCGAUCCUUCAUUAUAUAUUUACC